UUCGCAAUGCCCGAAAGGGUGACGAAGCGACGCCGCGUGUGGGAAGAAGGCCUUCGGGUUGUAAACCACUGUCGGGAGUUAAGAAAUGCAAGGAUAUGAAUAGUGUCUUUGCUUGACUAAGGCUCCGGAGGAAGCCACGGCUAACUCUGUGCCAGCAGCCGCGGUAAUACAGAGGCGGCAAGCGUUGUUCGGAAUUAUUGGGCGUAAAGAGCACGUAGGCGGCUAUGUAAGUCGGUUGUGAAAGCCUUCCGCUCAACGGAAGAACAGCAUCCGAUACUACAUGGCUUGAGUGCGGGAGGGGAGAGUGGAACUUCUGGUGGAGCGGUGAAAUGCGUAGAUAUCAGAAGGAACGCCGGCGGCGAAAGCGGCUCUCUGGACCGUAACUGACGCUGAGUGUGCGAAAGCUAGGGGAGCAAGCGGGGUUAGAUACCCCGGUAGUCCUAGCCGUAGACGAUGGGCACUAAGUAGAGGGGUUUU
rnacentral:rRNA from 1 species